rnacentral:rRNA from 1 species
GACGUAGGAUGCGAGCGUUAUUCGGAUUUAUUGGGCGUAAAGCGUGCGUAGGCGGCUGUUUAAGUCUGGUGUUAAAGCUAGGGGCUCAACCCCUGUGGUGCAUCGGAUACUGGGCAGCUUGAGUGCGGUAGGGGAAGGUGGAAUUCCGAGUGUAGCGGUGAAAUGCGUAGAUAUUCGGAAGAACACCGGUGGCGAAGGCGACCUUCUGGGCCGCAACUGACGCUGAGGCACGAAAGCCUGGGGAGCGAACGGG